AGCCGUCUUAGCUCAGUGGUAGAGCGCGUGGCUUUUAACCACGUGGUCGUGGGUUCGAUCCCCACAGACGGCGUAAUUUUUAUUUGUUAUAAGCAAGUUAAUAGAAUUGUAUAUGAAAUAACACGCUUCUUAUCAUAAUAAAUUAGCCGACUUAGCUCAGUGGUAGAGCGCGUGGCUUUUAACCACGUGGUCGUGGGUUCGAUCCCCACAGUCGGCGC
rnacentral:tRNA from 1 species